GAUGAACGCUGGCGGCGUGCCUAAUACAUGCAAGUCGAGCGAAGCGGGGACGGGUGAGUAACACGUGGAUAACCUCCUAUAAGACUGGGAUAACUUCGGGAAACCGGAGCUUAUCCGGCUACUUUUCGAAGGAUCCGCGCUCCAUUAGCUAGUGGGUCAGGUAACGGCUUACCAAGGCAACGAUGCAUAGCCGACAUGCGCGGGUGAUCGGCCACACUGGAACGUAGACACGGUGCAGACUCCGACGGGAGGCAGCAGUAGGGAAUCUGCCGCAAUGGGCGAAAGCCUGACGGAGCAACGCCGCGUGAGUGAUGAAGGUCUUCGGAUCGUAAAACUCUGUUAUUAGGGAAGCGGUACCUAAUCAGAAAGCCACGGCUAACUACGUGCCAGCAGCCGCGGUAAUAC
rnacentral:rRNA from 1 species